rnacentral:rRNA from 1 species
GAUGAACGCUAGCUACAGGCUUAACACAUGCAAGUCGAGGGGAAACGACAUCGAAAGCUUGCUUUUGAUGGGCGUCGACCGGCGCACGGGUGAGUAACGCGUAUCCAACCUGCCCAUCACUUGGGAAUAACCUUGCGAAAGUAAGACUAAUACCCAAUGACAUCCCACGAAGACAUCUGAAUGGGAUUAAAGAUUUAUCGGUGAUGGAUGGGGAUGCGUCUGAUUAGCUUGUUGGCGGGGUAACGGCCCACCAAGGCAACGAUCAGUAGGGGUUCUGAGAGGAAGGUCCCCCACAUUGGAAAUGAGACACGGUCCAAACUCCUACGGGAGGCAGCAGUGAGGAAUAUUGGUCAAUGGGCGAGAGCCUGAACCAGCCAAGUAGCGUGCAGGAUGACGGCCCUAUGGGUUGUAAACUGCUUUUAUAAGGGAAUAAAGUGGGUCUCGUGAGACUUUUUGCAUGUACCUUAUGAAUAAGGACCGGCUAAUUCCGUG